CCGCAUAACAUUGUCAAAUGGCAUCAUUUGAUAANNAAAGGAGCAAUCCGCUAUAAGAUGGGCCCCGUCAGCAUUAGUUAGUUGGUGGGGUAACGGCCUACCAAGACGACGAUGCGUAGCCGACCUGAGAGGGUGAUCGGCCACAUUGGGACUGAGACACGGCCCAGACUCCUACGGGAGGCAGCAGCGGGGAAUAUUGCACAAUGGGGGAAACCCUGAUGCAGCAACGCCGCGUGAGCGAUGAAGGUCUUCGGAUCGUAAAGCUCUGUCUUUAGGGAUGAUAAUGACAGUACCUAAGGAGGAA
rnacentral:rRNA from 1 species